GAUGAACGCUAGCGGGAGGCCUAAUACAUGCAAGUCGAGCGGCAAGGUUCUUCGGAACCCUAGAGCGGCGCACGGGUGAGUAACGCGUACGCAAUCUGCCCUUAAGAGAGGGAUAGCCCUGGGAAACUGGGAUUAAUACCUCAUAUAGUUUACUGGUUGCAUAGCUAGUAAACGAAAGCUCCGGUGCUUAAGGAUGAGCGUGCGUCUGAUUAGCUAGUUGGUAGGGUAACGGCCUACCAAGGCGAUGAUCAGUAGGGGGCGUGAGAGCGUGGCCCCCCACACGGGUACUGAGACACGGACCCGACUCCUACGGGAGGCAGCAGUAAGGAAUAUUGGGCAAUGGAGGCAACUCUGACCCAGCCAUCCCGCGUGAAGGAUGACGGCC
rnacentral:rRNA from 1 species